rnacentral:rRNA from 1 species
UACGAAGGGGGCUAGCGUUGCUCGGAAUCACUGGGCGUAAAGCGCACGUAGGCGGACUCUUAAGUCGGUGGUGAAAUCCUGGAGCUCAACUCCAGAACUGCCUUCGAUACUGAGAGUCUCGAGUCCGGGAGAGGUGAGUGGAACUGCGUGUGUAGAGGUGAAAUUCGUAGAUAUUCGCAAGAACACCAGUGGCGAAGGCGGCUCACUGGCCCGGUACUGACGCUGAGGUGCGAAAGCGUGGGGAGCAAACAGG